rnacentral:lncRNA from 1 species
UUAUUUAUUAUUUAAUUUCGAACUAUAUCGAGUUAAAAACAUGCAAGUUAUAGGAUAAGCUCGUGUUCGGUUCAUUUAUUUUCAAGCUAGAAAAGCAUGAUUACGAUCAGCUCGUUUAUUAAACGAACAAGUCGAAUUCGAACCAAUUUCGAGUCGAACACGAACUAACUCGCGAACAGCGAGCUAAACUGACAGCGAGAUUAUAUAACUGACCGUCCCUAGAGCAAGUGGCAAAUGGCUUGGUGGUUGGUACCCGAGACCCAAGUUCGAAUUAUAGUUGAUUCACAUUUCUAGACAGCGGGAUCAUAUAGAUAGUUUGGUGACCCAGAUAAAUUUACCUCGUGUCUAAAUGUAAAAAAUCUUGUCCAAUCUUGAAGUUUUCUGUCGAAAUCUCAACAUCUUAGUGGACGCAAAUUGAAGAAAAGCCUAAUCAAAGAAAAAGAGGGGCAUCUUAUUCAAGAUCUUUUUCCGACGACUAGAAAAAGUAAGUUAACUUUAACAUAGUUUUCAAAUACUUUCAAUAGUAUAGUUCAAAUUUAACGGAACCAAUCGUCGAUUUGAAAACUAUAUCAUUUAAAACAACUUGGUAGUACAAAGACAUCCGUACUACCAAUAGUAUAUCAGCUUAACUAUAUAUAUAUAUAUAUAUAUAUAGAGAGAGAGAGAGAGAGAGAGAGAGAGAGAGAGAGAGAGAGAGAGAGAGCAGGACUGCUGUGCUUUCAAGAGCACGGAGGCCUCUGUGCUUCUGAGCCAUUUUCGAUGAUGAAAUUUCCGAAUCGACGAUCAGCUCCGUUAGACUUGAUCUAGCGUCUUUGAAGUUUCUAGAAAAUAAUUUUUGUGAUUUUUUUAUAUCAUUUACCUAGCAAUCGAAAGGAAUCAAAAUCAAUAUUUUUUAACGACUGAAAAUAAAAAUCAUAUAAAAGGUGGUGAUAUAGUACUAAAAUUUUCGAUCAGAAAUAUUGAUCUUGUUGUAGAUAGUAUAAAGAAUUUUGUAUCAAAAUUUUAUCUGAUUUGAAUAUUUCUAUACCGUUAAACUUGAAAACGAUAGAUAUCAACCAUUAAAAAUUAUUAAUUUUGAAUACUUUCGAUCACUAGGUAAAUGAUAUCAAAAAAUCGUAAAAAUUAUUUUCUAAAAACUUCAAAUACCCUAGAUCAAGUCUAACGAAGCCGAUCGUCGAUUCGAAAAUUUCAUCAUCGAAAACAGUUUAGGAGUAUGGAAGCCUCUAUGCUCUUGAGAGCAUAGCAGCCCUGCUAUAUAUAUAUAUAUAUAUAUAUGCCCGUACUCGCAAUUAUUGUCCUUGUUAUUGGUAUUAUUGUAUGGAGAUUCUUGUAGGAGUGAGAAAAAAUCUUUUCAUCCUAUGCACAAAGUUGUCCCAUCAAUGAAAUAAACGAAAAAGAAUUAAAACGUGCUCUUACAUAUUUAUCCCGGGUAAAUUGCAUUGUUACAUCCUGAACUUUUGACGAAGUUUUACUUUACCCCUCAAACUUUUAAAAUAAACAUUUAAUAUUCUAAACUCUAAUAUUUCAUUUAUGUUACCCCUUCCGUCAAUUUUCCGUCAAGCUCCAUUAAACGAAUACUAACAGAAGGGGUUAAACGAAUGAAAUAUUAGAGUUUAGAGUGUUAAAUGUCUAUUUUAAGAAUUUGGGGGUUUAAGUGAAACUCGCCAAAAAUUCAGAAGGUAGUAGUGCAAUUUACCCUAUGUCCCUAAUAUGUUACUUAUGGAUUGACUACUAACUCUCAAGUUAGUGAUCAUGCUUGAUUUUGAAUUUAUAUAUAUAUUUUUUAUCCUAAAAUAAAUCAUACCAUAAUUUAUCCGACAUUUUAUUGUAAUAAAAUAAAAGCGAAAAAAAUGAAUUAGAGUGGCUUAAAGAUAAGAAAAUAGUGAUACUAACUACUUACGAUACUCAAACACUCUACUGUUCUGGUGUACUUGCUAAUAUGGUUGAUUUACAAUAGAUGUCCUCACUCGGAUAUAGAGAUUUUAAUUCUUAUUUAAUUUUCUGUAGUACUCGUUUGUCCCUUUUAUCUUUAGAAGCAUUAUUCUAGAAAAUGAACUUAUUUUCUAUAAAACUAUGCAAUGUAAUUUUAUUGUAGCCUAAAAUAAAAUUUUUGUAUUUCAUUUCAGCCAAUUAGAAAAUUUUAAUAUAAAAAUAUAAAAUAAUAUUUUAUAAUACUUUAGAACAAUUCCUAAAGAUAAAAAGGACAAACGAAUACUACAGAAAAUUAAUUGAGAAUUAAAAUCUCUAUAUCUGAGUGAGGAAAUCUAUUGUAAAUCAAUCAUAUUAGCGAGUACACCGGGACAGUAGAAUGUUCAAGUAUCGUAGAUAGUUAGUAUCGCUCUUUUCUUAUCUUUAAGACAUUCUAAUUCAUUUCAUUCGGUUUUAUUUUAUUAUAAUAAAAUAUAGGAUAAAUUAUGGUAUGAUUUAUUUUAGGAUAAAAAAUAUAUAUAAAUUCAAAAUCAAGCAUGAUCACUAAUUUGAGGCUUAGUAGUCAAUUCAUAAGUAACAUAUUAUAAUAAAAUAAUUUAUAGUCAAGAGUCCUAUAGAGUAAAUUGCACUGCUACCUCCUGAACUUUUGCCGAGUUUCACUUAAUCCCCUAAAUUUCUAAAAUAGACAUCUAACACCCUAAACUCUAAUAUUUCAUUCGUUUUACCCCUUCCAUCAGUUUCCGGUUAACGGAGCUUGACAGAAAAUUGACGGAAUGGAUAAUAUGAAUGAAAUAUUAGAGUUUAGGAUGUUAGAUGUUCAUUCUAGGAGUUCGUGGGGUAAACUGAAACUUUGCUAAAAGUUCAGGGGGUAACAAUGUAAUUUACCCUAUUUAUCCUUGACUACUAUUCACUCAAAUUUAUUCAAAAACUAUCAAUAUAUUCUUCAAAAAUUCAAUCCCAUUGAUAAACUACAGAAAAAAUGUAGAUAUUUAAAAGAAAUUUCUUAAGUAAAAAAAAAUAUUUUGAUUAUUCAGAAUAAAUAAGAUAUUCUUAAAAUUUUAAAGGGCGUAUUAAAUAAAUAUUAUCUUAAUAAGUAAACUUUAAUUUGUCAUUUUAUGAUUUAUCUUAUUUUUACUUUAUUAUUCUGUAGUUUAAAAAAUUAUAAUUAACUAGUGUGCAAUGUUAUGUCUAUUUUUAUUUAAAAAUUUAUUAUCAAAUAGGAUAGCAAAACAAAAAUUUUUGAUAACUAUAGAAUAAUCAAGUGUAAUUUUGUAAACCAUAGAAUAACUUUAAAAAAAUGAGCUAAUUAAACCGCAGAGUAGUUAAUUGUAAUUUUUUAAACCAAUGUAAUUUUUGUACAGUCAAUGUAAUUUUUGUACUCAUGCAUGCGUUAGGGUUUUAAUUCUCUUCUUCAUGCAAAUUAAUUAAUUAAUUAAUUAAAUUCAUCAAAUUCACAUUUUUCGCCGCAGCUGCAACGCAAGUAUAUUUUGUUUUGUAAACUAGGCUGCUAUACUAUCGGUAACACGGAGGUCUCCGUGUUAUCAAGUUAUUUUCAAUAAUGCCGCUUCAAAAUCGAAGAUCGGCUCUGUUAAACUUAAUCUACAUUAAUUAUUGAAUUAAAGUAUUUGGAAACUAAAUUUUAUAAUUUUUUGAUAUUAUUUGGCUAGCGAGCAAAAUGUCUCAAAAUGAACAAUUUUAAUGGUCAAUGUGAUGUAUUUUUGAGUUAACAGCAUAAAACAAUCCAAAUUUGAUAAAAUUUUUAUAGAAUUUUUUUUUAACUAUUUAGAAUAAGAUCGGUACCUUUGAUCUUAAAUUCAAGUCUUUUAUCAUUAUUUUUUAUAAAUUUUUUAUUUUUAUCCGUUCAUCUUUAGACUACUCAUUUGAUAGAUAAAUAAUGUCGAAAAAUUAUAAAAUUUAAUUUUUAAAUACUUUCAAUAGUACAGAUCAAGUCUAAUAAAGCCGAUAAUCGAUUUGAAAGUCGCAUUAUUAAAAAUAACUUGAUAGUAUGAAAAUUUUCGUACUACUGAUAGUAUAGCAGCUUGACUCUUGUUUUAUUAUCAAACACGUUUUGGACGCAUCAACAAACCCAACUAAAAUUUUGGUACAAAAUUUUCCCUAGCUUGUUCGAUGGCAACUCCUUUAAUUUAUUUCUACAGGUACAUAAUUGUGUCAACUUCUUUAAUAGCUUCUCUAUUUCCAAAUGCAUUGAAUGUAUCUUUACAACUUAUGUACUACUGCAUUUGCUGGGAAAAUAAUAUCUAGGGUUAAUUUCAUACAGGUUUCUACGAAGAUAUCAAAUAUAUUUAAUAUGUUAUAUUAAAUAUAUCAAAUAGUAAAUUUAUACCUUACAAAAGUUAAGCUAUCAGAAUUAUCCUUUCGAAAAUUCUCCUGUUUAUAAAUAUAUUCUACCAAAAGUUCUGUUUCGUUCAUAUAUGUUCCUGCCGUUUGAUUCACCGUUAGUUUUGUAACUGUAGGUGUGUAAAAUUAUUUUAUCCUUACAAAUUUGUCCAUGUAAAAGAUUUUUUUUUUUUUCUCUUGCUUUGCUCGUCUUUGUCACGGCACGUAUGGCGUACUUCAUUUUUGCCGCGACCGAGGGCCUCCCCUUCGAUGUCGCUGCCGCUGUAAGUCUCGCCGCCACAAUGGAUAAAGAGGAGAGGGGUAAGAAAGAUGAUGGAACUUAAUAUUGUAAUACAAAUUACAUAUAUAGGGGAGAAACAGGUUAUUUUAACCCUUAGCUAACUGUCGUUAGCUUUUCUAACCGGUGAGAUUAUCUAAAUUUUGAUAAUAGAAAGAUAUAUUCACGGAUGAAAGAAUUUUUAGAGGAAUAAAUCUAAUAACUUAAGUUUUUUAGGAAUAUAUUUUCUUUUUGAUAUAUUUUUGUAAGGAGCUAUAUGCAAUUACCCCUAAUAUCUAAUAGGGAUAAUUGUAUAUAUAUCUCUGUCGAAACUUCUAAAAUAUUUGAUAUAUACCUUUACUUUUUUUUAUUUCAAAUAUAUCCUUCGCAUAUUUCUCCGUUAUUGAAAAAUAUCCUAUUAUUAGUAUCCAUUAAGUAGUGAUCAUCUCGAGUUAAAUCUGGAUUAAAUUUUUACAAGAAUUAAAAAAGUUAAAAUGCAUUUUUUCCCUUAUUUUAAGGACAAAUAAGAAAAGUUGAUGAAGAUAGAAGUGUAUAUUUGAAAAUGAAGAAAUCAAAAUACUUCUUUUUGCCUGUAACUUAAGGGCAAAUAAGAAAAAUUGGUGAUGGUAAAAGCAUAUAUAUCUAAAUGCGCAAAAAUAGUAAUUUUAUAGAUAUAACGAUUGUUCAUACCAGUUUACUAAUAGAAUCUAACUUUAGGGAUAUAUCAUAUUUGAAAGUAUUUGGAACAUUCAGAGCGUAAUUUUACUAUAUUCCUUUUAAGCGAGCUAAAUAAGAAAGUCUGGAACCUCAGGAAUAUAUAUAUAUAUAAGCAAUUGGCCCCUAGCCAGUUUUUUUCUUUUUUUUUCCGCCCCUCUUUCGAGGCUCUGGAUGCCUCACCCCUGUAGCCUAAUUCAUAUCUUUAAUGAAUGAAGCAGGUAGCGUGCUAUCUUUUCUCAAAAAAAAAAAAAAAAAGGCCCCUAGCUAAUAUGCCCUUCAAAAUUUUAAAAAUAUUGAAUAUACUCUAGCUGGACCAAAAUACCUUGAUUGAUUUUUAAAAAUUUCUUCAAAUAUAUCCAUAAUGUUGGUGUUUACUAAUGAAAUUUGGAAUUUUAAUUAAAGGAUAUUUUGAAAAUUGAGGGAUAAAUUUAAAAAUUUUGAAUCGCAGUGAGUGAUAUAUAAGGGGAAAAAAGCCCCUUAAUUAAUAUCUUAAAACCAAGUCUAAUUUGAUUGAUAUAUUCUACAACAUCUAUGGGGUUUGUGUGUUGUUUAAUUUCAAAAUCUAUUCUCUCUCUCUCUCUCUUUAUAUAUAUAUAUAUAUAUAUNGUGCUCCUGAGCCGUUUUCAAUGAUGGAGUUUCCGAAUCGACUAUCAAGUAUUUGAAGUUUCUAGAAAAUAAUUUUUGCGAUUUUUGAUAUCAUUUACCUAGCAAUCGAAAGGAUUCAAAAUCAAUAAUUUUUAACGGCUGAAAAUAAAACUCCUAUAAAAAGUGGUGAUAUAGUACUAAAAUUUUCGAUCAGAAAUAUUGAUUUUGUUGUAGAUAGUAUAAAAAAUUUUGUAUCAAAAUUUUAUUUGAUUUGAAUACUUCUACACCGUUAAACUUGAAAACGGCAGAUAUCAACCAUUAAAAAUUAUGGAUUUUGAAUCCUUUCGAUCACUAGGUAAAUGAUAUCAAAAAAUUUCAAAAAUUAUUUUCUAGAAACUUAAAAUGCGCUAGAUCAAGUCUAACGGAGCAGAUCAUUGAUUUGAAAAUUCCAUCAUCGAAAACGGCUCAGGAGCACGGAGGCCUCUGAGCUCCUGAGAGUAUAGCAGUCCUGCUCUCUCUCUCUCUCUCUCUCUCUCUCUCUCUCUCUCUCUCUCUCUCUCUCUCUCUAUAUAUAUAUAUAUAUAGAGAGAGAGCUGAACUGGAAUACUAUUGAUAGCAAAGUGUACUUUUUACUAUCAAGUUUUUUGGAUGAAAAAUUAUAAGGUUAUGAUGAUAUUAGUCCCUUAGGUUUGAAUGGUACCCCUAGGGUUGAGUGGUCUCCACUGGGUUAUAAACUAAAAUUAGAGCUAGUAAGAUAUACAAUGCAACUAAAAAUUCACAUUCGUAUUCAAACUUUGUAUACUUAUAUUUUAUUCAACAAUAUUUAAUUUUUUAACCAACAUAAAUACAAUUUUAACGUAAAAUUUAUUGUAAAAUAAACAAAGAACAUUAUAGAAAAUCACUAAUCCACCUAAAAUAUACAUUGACUUUCCUCUUAUCACUGGGGGUAAAAACGGUCGAAUACGGUCACAUCCAUAAUUUAUUUUUUAGAUUUUUUUUGGAUGCAAGUAUACGUAGAAUACUAAUUUUUAAUAUCUAUAUUCGUAUCCUAUCGAAUUCGGUGUCGAAUUCGAUCAAAGUUUAUCCUAAUCACUUUCACUCCUGGCCUGGUUCAAACUCAUAACUUUGGUACCCAUCACAUAAAAACAAGGAUUAAUUUCACGUUUUAAACAUCAAAAAAUUGGGGAAAAAGUACUUUUAUUGGGAACUCUUUGAUGCUAUAUAUUGCUUGUUAAUAUAAUCCUUAAAAGAAAAGCAUGAGAAGCAACCAAGCAAGCAACAAAAAGACUCUUCAGUACUUGUAAUUAGCAAGCUUAAUUGAUAUUUGUAAAUGAAAUAUUUAUUUUUAGAGGUAUUCUUAAUAAAAGGCUAAAUUACAGAUAAUUUUUUCUUAUAAAUAUCUGUUUUUUUAAUUUUUCCUUUCUAACUUUUAAAAAUUUAUAUUUUACUCGCUCAAUAUUUCAAGUUGUAGCAUUUAGAAAUGCUGUCCCUCAGUCAGGGUUGUAUUACUAUUUCGUCUAUUUUUUAUAAUUAAUAUCGAAAAUGCCCUUCAAAAUGAUAGAAAUAUAUUAAAAAAAUAAUUUUUUUAUAGAAGAAGUAAGGUGAUUUUACUAUUUUAUCCUCUCUAUGAACGCCGUGCCUUUCUAAAAUUAUUUUUAAAAUUUUAAGAGAGCAAAAUAUAGAAUUUUGAAAAUCAUGAAGAAAAGGUGAAAAACAAAGUAUUUUACAGAAAAAUUUUUUGUAAUUUAGCCUAAAAAAAAAAUAUAUGUUGCAUUUGAGUUGGGCUCGAGUGCUAAAUUAGGGUUUAAGUAGUUAGAGAAAUUUGUAGGAUGGAAAAUAUUUGAAGCUUUAAUUUAUGGGUCUCGAUGUCAAGUUUCGAGACUCUUCUGGAAUUAAAAGUAUUCUAACUCAAUUCUAUUGUUUGCGUGUAAUAUUGAAUGUGUUGUGUAUGCAUAAUGCAAGUCAUUUUGAGUAUUGGAGGUGGAACCAAUUUUGUGACAAUAAUUUUUUUGUAAGUUUGUGAACUAUCAAUUUCAUCAUGAUUUUAAUCUCUUUUGUACAUGUUUGAUUUAGUAGAAACUAUUAAGAAAACCAACUAAAAUAAAAAAUAAAAAAAUAUAUAAAAAAAGACAGAGGAUGGACAUUUUUAGGAACGAAUUUCCACUUGUUGUGAAUGACUCAUGUCGCAACUAGGGCGGCCAACGUACCGAACACGAGUGAGUUGGGACCGGCUUGUGUUCGCUCUUUUAUUAAAUGAGCUGGAACGCGAAUUGACUCGUUAAAAUAUCAAAGUUGAAAAAUUAUGCUUUUAUUCAAGUUGUUUAUUAACGAGUCAAACACGUGCUGGCGUGCAAAAAACAAGUUCGAUUAUCAGUUUUAUUAUUAUUUGGUGAUGUCACGCCCCGGGGUCCCUUUGAGUUUAGAAGAUAGCGGAAAAGCGUCUGAAUUUUUUUUUUUUUUUGUUUUUAAAAACAUGACCCCAGAGUAUGCCAGACCCGCCACAAAUACAGGGAUUCCACUGUUCACACAGACAGAGUCUCCCCUAUAUUUGCACGGCGUCGCACAAGUACAACAAUACAAACAGAAUACAACCACAACUAAAUGAAUAUAGAAAUCACUAUACAUUCAUACAUUCACCAUUCACAUCACAAAUUUGCAUUCCAUGUCUAAACAUAAAUCCAUAGAAAAUCUUUUGAAAACUGUUCCCUACACAGGAACCUUUAUUCUUUAAAAACGCUACCACGAGGGGUAGAAAACCUUUUAUUUUACAAAAUCCAGAAAUCCACAUUUUCAAAUGUAAAUAAAUACUGAACCACAUAAACCAACUAAACUAUACAUCGACCGAAAUAAGAAGG